UUAUUAUUGAAUUAUAAAUUAUAAAUUAUUAUUAACUAUUAUUAUUAAAUAAUAUUAUAUAUAUAUGUAUAUAAAACAAAUGAAGAAAAAGAAUAAAAAGAAACAAAGAAGAAUAAGAAACAGAGAGCAUUCGAAAAACAGGGGAAGAAAAGGGAAAGAAAAGAAAAAGGGAAAAUUGAGAUUUUGAAGCUUCAAACUUAUUUGCCAACAAAGAACCUGAAGCAUCAGCAUCGAAAGGAAAGGAGAAAGUCAUCGAGGACUAAAACGGGAGAAUUACGGUGUGUAUUACUAUAAUUUGAAUUUUAAUUAUUAUUGAUUGCUGAAUUUUUUAUUGUUAUGUAUGGUAAGUAAGACUUGAGGUAAGUAUGUGAAAUUGAUAUGAAUAUUGAGUGAAAAUGAAAGUGAUGCAAAUUGAAUCAAAUUGAAUUGAAUAA